rnacentral:tRNA from 1 species
GGAAGGAUGGCCGAGCGGUUGAAGGCGCACGCCUGGAACGCGUGUAUAUCUGAAUAAGGUAUCAAGGGUUCGAAUCCCUUUCCUUCCG